UUUACAUUAUAGGUACCCCAAGAAGUCCUUAUUCUUAUCACAGAGCAUAGUAGAAGAGCAUUUGAAAGGAAAUUUACAUCUCCUUCCUUACCAGUGUUAUAAAACUUGCCCAGAGGUGGCUUUGAUCUCUAGCUUUUGAGGAGAGCAUGCCUACUGCAUGCCUACAUGCUAACCACUGCACUACAGCUGUUCUAUAACAUAACCUGUAUGAAAAUGCAUUCCCCUUGUCUGAAUCAAUAUAACAAUGAACUAGUAAAGUUAAACACCAGAAAAUGAAAAGGAUGGAUAUACACAAAUUAGUGCCACUGGGUGCACAAAUAUGUGAAGCUGUUGUUUUCCCUGUCUUCAACAAUGCAAAAGAGUCUCAAUCUUUAGUGAUUCAGGAGGGUUUUGAUCUAUGCAUCAUUGUUGGUAACAAAUUGUUAUAAAACUGGCAUAAAUGCGAACUGGCAUAUGUGCAAAUUAGCAUAUGUGCGCC